rnacentral:piRNA from 1 species
UGGAAAGUUACCUCUUACCUUCCCCAGU